CUAGGCGAUACGAGCCGGCGCAAGGACUAACUUUGCCUCAUAACGAAGCCGUGACAAGCUAUUUAGUGCGGGCUUUGUCGACAAAUCCAAAUCUUCAUGAUGCUGACAAAGACAACAUUGUGUCUGCCUGCAAGACGUAUUACGAAACCUUACGCAGGAGCUACAGAUACCAGCAGCCUGAUCUUUCGUUGCAGGCGGAAGCAAUGAAGUAGCCGGCUCGUAGUCGCUCCAGAAGAAAGAGGCUGUUUGACGCGAGACGAGGUGUCCUUGCUAUGGACGAGAUGGAUGUAUGGCAGUGUGCUAC